AGAGCCCUGACAGGCCGGUUGAGACUGCGGAUGCCCCAGUCCCCGUCCCCUCGGCCGCUGGCAGCACACUUCCUGGCAAACAGGAAGCGGAAGUGGUUACAAACUCCCAAAUUGCGGUGCGGCCUAAAAGCAGUCCCUUCGGGGGAGUGAAGAGGGAGGAAGACGAGGAUGGAGAGAGGGCAGGACCAUCUGGUCAGUGCGCUGUCCGUCCUUCCUCCUCCUCCUCCUCUUCUUCCUCUCCUCCCUCCGCUCCCUUCAUCCCUUUCUCUGGAGGGGGUCAGAGGCUGGGGGGGCCGGGGGUGAGCGGUGUAGGAGCAUCAUCAUCAUCAUCAUCAUCAUCAUCAUCAUUGGUUGGCGGGCCGCCUAAAGCCAAGAAAUGUAAACCCAACAACACCAAGAGCCAAGCCAGUGCCAAACAGGAUGACUGGGCCGUGGUAGAGGAGGUUCUGCAGCCGGUGGACAGGA